GACGAACGCUGGCGGCGUGCUUAACACAUGCAAGUCGAACGGAAAGGCCCUGCUUUUGUGGGGUGCUCGAGUGGCGAACGGGUGAGUAACACGUGAGUAACCUGCCCUUGACUUUGGGAUAACUUCAGGAAACUGGGGCUAAUACCGGAUAGGAGCUCCUGCUGCAUGGUGGGGGUUGGAAAGUUUCGGCGGUUGGGGAUGGACUCGCGGCUUAUCAGCUUGUUGGUGGGGUAGUGGCUUACCAAGGCUUUGACGGGUAGCCGGCCUGAGAGGGUGACCGGCCACAUUGGGACUGAGAUACGGCGCAGACUCCUACGGGAGGCAGCAGUGGGGAAUAUUGCAGAAUGAGCGGGAGCCUGAUGCAGCAACGCCGCGUGCGGGAUGACGGCCUUCGGGUUGUAAACCGCUUUCGCCUGUGACGAAGCGUGAGUGACGGUAAUGGGUAAAGAAGCACCGGCUAACUACGUG
rnacentral:rRNA from 1 species